rnacentral:rRNA from 1 species
UUGACGGGACCCGCACAAGCGGUGGAUGAUGUGGUUUAAUUCGAUGCAACGCGAAAAACCUUACCCACCUUUGACAUGGCAGGAAUCCCGAAGAGAUUUGGGAGUGCUCGAAAGAGAACCUGCACACAGGUGCUGCAUGGCUGUCGUCAGCUCGUGUCGUGAGAUGUUGGGUUAAGUCCCGCAACGAGCGCAACCCUUGCCAUUAGUUGCUACGAAAGGGCACUCUAAUGGGACUGCCGGUGACAAACCGGAGGAAGGUGGGGAUGACGUCAAGUCCUCAUGGCCCUUAUAGGUGGGGCUACACACGUCAUACAAUGGCCGGUACAGAGGGUAGCCAACCCGCGAGGGGGAGCCAAUCCCACAAAGCCGGUCGUAGUCCGGAUCGCAGUCUGCAACUCGACUGCGUGAAGUCGGAAUCGCUAGUAAUCGUGGAUCAGAAUGUCACGGUGAAUACGUUCCCGGGUCUU